UACGGAGGGGGCUAGCGUUGUUCGGAAUUACUGAGCGUAAAGCGCGCGUAGGCGGUCAGCACAGUCAGGCGUGAAAGCCCCGGGCUUAACCCGGGAAUUGCGCUCGAUACUGGUUGACUGGAGUUCGGAAGAGGAGAGUGGAAUUCCCAGUGUAGAGGUGAAAUUCGUAGAUAUUGGGAAGAACACUAGUGGCGAAGGCGGCUCUCUGGUCCGAUACUGACGCUGAGGCGCGAAAGCGUGGGGAGCCAACAGG
rnacentral:misc_RNA from 1 species